rnacentral:rRNA from 1 species
AUGUAGAGGUCGUCGGGUGAGUAACACGUGGGCAACCUGCCUGUAAGUUGGGGAUAACUCCGGGAAACCGGGGCUAAUACCGAAUGAUAAAGUGUGGCGCAUGCCACGCUUUUGAAAGAUGGUUUCGGCUAUCGCUUACAGAUGGGCCCGCGGUGCAUUAGCUAGUUGGUAGGGUAAUGGCCUACCAAGGCAACGAUGCAUAGCCGACCUGAGAGGGUGAUCGGCCACACUGGGACUGAGACACGGCCCAGACUCCUACGGGAGGCAGCAGUAGGGAAUCUUCCGCAAUGGACGAAGGUCUGACGGAGCAACGCCGCGUGUUGAAGAAGGUUUUCGGAUCGUAAAGUACUGUUGUUAGAGAAGAACAAGGAUAAGAGUAACUGCUUGUCCCUUGACGGUAUCUAACCAGAAAGCCACGGGUAACUACGUGCCAGCAGCCGGGGUAAUACGUAGGUGGCAAGCGUUGUCCGGAUUUAUUGUGCGUAAAGCGCGCGCAGGCGGUCUUUUAAGUCUGAUGUGAAAGCCCGCGGCUUAACCGGGGAGGGUCAUUGGAAACUGGAAGACUGGAGUGCAGAAGAGGAGAGUGCAAUUCCACGUGUAGCGGUGAAAUGCGUAGAUAUGUGGAGGAACACCAGUGGCGAAGGCGACUCUCUGGUCUGUAACUGACGCUGAGGCGCGAAAGCGUGGGGGAGCAAACAGGAUUAGAUACCCUGGUAGUCCACGCCGUAAACGAUGAGUGCUAAGUGUUAGGGGGUUUCCGCCCCUUAGUGCUGCAGGCUAACGCAUUAAGCACUCCGCCCUGUGCGAGUAGCAACCGGCGAGGGUUUGAAACUUAAAACGUAAAUAGAACCGGAUGA